rnacentral:rRNA from 1 species
CCUACGGGAGGCAGCAGUGAGGAAUCUUGCGCAAUGGACGAGAGUCUGAACCAGCCAAGUAGCGUGAACGAUGACUGCCCUAUGGGUUGUAAACUUCUUUUAUAAGGGAAUAAAACGAGGCACGUGUGCCUUUUUGCAUGUCCUUUAUGAAUAAGGAUCGGCUAACUCCGUGCCAGCAGCCGCGGUAAUACGGAGGAUCCGAGCGUUAUCCGGAUUUAUUGGGUUUAAAGGGAGCGUAGAUGGGUUGUUAAGUCAGUUGUGAAAGUUUGCGGCUCAACCGUAAAAGUGCAAUUGAUACUGGCAGUCUUGAGUACAGUUGAGGUAGGUGGAAUUCGUGGUGUAGCGGUGAAAUGCUUAGAUAUCACGAAGAACCCCGAUGGCGAAGGCAGCUUACUAAACUGUGACUGACACUGAGGCUCGAAAGUGUGGGUAGCAAACGGGAUUAGAUACCCCUGUAGUC